GUUUUGUAAAGUCUAACCUGCCCACUGGUAUUAAAUAAAGGGCCGCGGUAUUUUAACCGUGCGAAGGUAGCAUAGUCAUUAGUCUUUUAAUUGGAGGCUUGUAUGAAUGGUUGGACAAGAAGUAAGCUGUCUCGAACGCAGAGGUUGAAGUUGACUUUUAAGUGAAAAGGCUUAAAUAGUUUAAAGGGACGAUAAGACCCUAUAAAGCUUAAUAAUUUAGUAUAUAGCUAAAUGAAUUAUAAGUAUUAUACUAUUUAUAUAUUAAAUUAUUUCGUUGGGGCGAUGAUGAUAUAAUUUGUAACUGUUUAAAGUUUUGAUACAAAUAUAUUUGUGUGUAAUGAUCCUUGUUGUUGAUUAAAAAUUUAAGUUACUUUAGGGAUAACAGCGUUAUUUAUUUUGAGAGUUCAUAUCGACAAAAAAGUUUGCGACCUCGAUGUUGAAUUAAAAAUUCGCCAUGGCGUAGGAGUUAUGGGGGAGGGUCUGUUCGACCCUUAAAUUUUU
rnacentral:rRNA from 1 species